CUCGUAGGCGGCCAACUAAGUCAGACGUGAAAUCCCUAGGCUCAACCUAGGAACUGCGUCUGAUACUGGAUGGCUUGAAUCCGGGAGAGGGAUGCAGAAUUCCAGGUGUAGCGGUGAAAUGCGUAGAUAUCUGGAGGAAUACCGGUGGCGAAGGCGGCAUCCUGGACCGGCAUUGACGCUGAGGAGCGAAAGCCGAGGGGAGCGAAACG
rnacentral:rRNA from 1 species